rnacentral:rRNA from 1 species
CCAGCUGGCUGCAACUGUUUAUUAAAAACACAGCACUGUGCAAACACGAAAGUGGACGUAUACGGUGUGACGCCUGCCCGGUGCCGGAAGGUUAAUUGAUGGGGUUAUCCUCGCGGAGAAGCUCUUGAUCGAAGCCCCGGUAAACGGCGGCCGUAACUAUAACGGUCCUAAGGUAGCGAAAUUCCUUGUCGGGUAAGUUCCGACCUGCACGAAUGGCGUAAUGAUGGCCAGGCUGUCUCCACCCGAGACUCAGUGAAAUUGAACUCGCUGUGAAGAUGCAGUGUACCCGCGGCAAGACGGAAAGACCCCGUGAACCUUUACUAUAGCUUGACACUGAACACUGGUCCUUGAUGUGUAGGAUAGGUGGGAGGCUUUGAAGUGUGGACGCCAGUCUGCAUGGAGCCAUCCUUGAAAUACCACCCUUUAAUGGCUGGUGUUCUAACGUGGGCCCGUAAUCCGGGUUGCGGACAGUGUCUGGUGGGUAGUUUGACUGGGGCGGUCUCCUCCUAAAGAGUAACGGAGGAGCACGAAGGUCAGCUAAUCCUGGUCGGACAUCAGGAGGUUAGUGCAAUGGCAUAAGCUGGCUUGACUGCGAGCGUGACGGCGCGAGCAGGUGCGAAAGCAGGUCAUAGUGAUCCGGUGGUUCUGAAUGGAAGGGCCAUCGCUCAACGGAUAAAAGGUACUCCGGGGAUAACAGGCUGAUACCGCCCAAGAGUUCAUAUCGACGGCGGUGUUUGGCACCUCGAUGUCGGCUCAUCACAUCCUGGGGCUGAAGUAGGUCCCAAGGGUAUGGCUGUUCGCCAUUUAAAGUGGUACGCGAGCUGGGUUUAGAACGUCGUGAGACAGUUCGGUCCCUAUCUGCCGUGGGCGCUGGAGAAUUGAGGGGGGCUGCUCCUAGUACGAGAGGACCGGAGUGGACGCAUCACUGGUGUUCGGGUUGUCAUGCCAAUGGCAUUGCCCGGUAGCUAAAUGCGGAAGAGAUAAGUGCUGAAAGCAUCUAAGCACGAAACUUGCC